rnacentral:rRNA from 1 species
UACAGGAGGUCCCGAGCGUUGUUUCGGAUUCAGCUAGGGCGUAAGGUGCGUGAGGUGGUGAGGUAGAUCGGAUGUGAAAUCUCCAAGCUCAACUUGGAAAUGGCAUUGGAAACUACCUUGGCUGGAGGUUUGGAGGGGGACUGGAAUUCUCGGUGUAGCAGUGAAAUGCGUAGAUAUCGAGAGGAACACCAGUGGCGAAGGCGAGUCCCUGGACAAACCUGACACUGGAGGCACGAAAGCUAGGGGAGCAAACAGG